UCCCGUGAAUAUCGUAAUGUAUUAUUAUGUCAAGAAUGCCUAACUAUCGAUGCAUUUGUAAUGCAUCAUAUCUUUUUAAAAAAUAAUAGCGUCUCUCACGAGAUACGUCAAUCGUCAAACAAAUACCAGAACUUCGACAUACAUGUGGCGUGCAUAAUUGCGUUCUAUUAAGACAAUUAUCUGCAUCGUAACCUCCAAUCAAUAGAAUGUUUGUUUUAGAUAUUUACAUACAGGUAUACGUUUCAUAUUAAUACACUUGAGAUAAUAUUAUGAACGGUAUUUUUACUAGUUACAAAUUACAAGUUACUAGUGCUAGCAAUUUUUUUACACGAAAGUAAGAAGGUUAGAAAUAAAACACUAUCCGCGACGAAACUGUCAGAAGCAGGCACGCUAGUACCCUCGUAGAAGCGAAUAAUACGCGAAGAACAGGCGCCCAGGGACGCAUAAUCGGCGAGGAGGCUGGGGAACAGCGAAGAAAGGGAGAAAACAUAUCUGAAUCGUGAGGAGCCUCGGGGAUGAUGCACGCGCUCGUUCGUUUACUUCUCAUCGUUUUCAUCCCUCUGACGACAAUCGAUGUGCUCGUCCUGUUCGGUAUUUAAUACGUUCUCGUCUGUCAUCGACGGAUUUGAUAACGCAACCCCGCCGCCUUACCGAGUGGAUCGGAGUAUAAAAAGAGAACGGAAAAGAGAGAUGAGCGGCAAGAAAAGGGUUCGCACUAGUAAGGGCGCCCUUUGAUUUAUGUAGUCGUGUCGGUGAAACGACGGCAAACAUCAAUCACCCAAACGUGGAAGCAUCGGGCCAUCGAGCAGGCAUGUGCGAUUCACGCGUACCAAAUCGACAGCUCGGAUGAAUGCGCGAAAAAAAAAGAGAAUACUGUCUUGAUAACCCGAUGUUACCCCUCAGCUGUUUCUAUCUGUAUCUCCUAUACAGAUUUCACAGGAUGGAAACUCGAUGAUACCGUUCAUUUGCUGCAAAAACGACGUAACGAAAAAUUUGCAGUUUUUGAGUUAUUACUACGGGGAAAAACGCUUCUUAUAUAAAUGUUGAUGGCGAAGUGAAUUUCGCAUCGAGAGUGUGGUAAUUCGACUGUGAAUUUUUAAGCAUUUAUGCAUUUAUGCGAAAUUUAAAGUGGUAAAAAUACGCAGAAUACGUAUAAUAUACAAAAUUAUAUCAAAUAUCCAAAGUA